GUGAGGGUGAUGAACAAAAAAACAUAUCGGAUGUCCCAAUGAUAAAAUUAUGUGAUUACGUACCAGCUACUUUUGACUCAU